rnacentral:rRNA from 1 species
CCUACGGGAGGCAGCAGUGAGGAAUAUUGGUCAAUGGGCGCGAGCCUGAACCAGCCAAGUCGCGUGAGGGAAGACGGCCCUACGGGUUGUAAACCUCUUUUGCCGGGGAGCAACGGGCGCCACGUGUUGCGCCACUGAGAGUACCCGGAGAAAAAGCAUCGGCUAACUCCGUGCCAGCAGCCGCGGUAAUACGGAGGAUGCGAGCGUUAUCCGGAUUUAUUGGGUUUAAAGGGUGCGUAGGCGGAUCGUUAAGUCAGUGGUCAAAUUGAGGGGCUCAACCCCUUCCCGCCAUUGAAACUGGCGAUCUUGAGUGGAAGAGAAGUAUGCGGAAUGCGUGGUGUAGCGGUGAAAUGCAUAGAUAUCACGCAGAACCCCGAUGGCGAAGGCAGCAUGCCGGCUUCCUACUGACGCUGAAGCACGAAAGCGUGGGGAUCGAACAGGAUUAGAUACCCCAGUAGUC